AGGGCACAGUUGUAAUAAUAUUUGAGUAGUAAAAAGAUCAGUACAGGAGCAGAGGAAAGAAGACGCAAGGAGGAAGUCAUUUCAAGGUAAUGGACCACAGGGAGAAGACCGAAAAAUAUAAUCUGUGCUGCCAUAGUAGAAUACCACAGACCAGGUGAUUGAAAGAAACAGAAACUCCUUUCUCGGGUUUGGAGACUGGGAAGUCCAGGAUCCAAGUGCUGACGGAUCUGUUGAGGGCUUCCUGACUCACUGAUGACAGCCUUGGUGCUUCCUUCCACGGUGGAAAGGAAAGGCUGGACCAGUCAGCAUUCCCACCAACAGUGAAGGAGCGUCCCUUUUCCACCACAUCCAUGCCAGCAUAGAUUCCGUCUGUACUCAAGACCAGGCAGAGAUAUUGGGAGACGAAGAGCAUCAUAAAAUGAAGAGCGUCAUAAAACCAAGAUCUGAAAACCACAAGUUACAUUUUAGUUUCUGAAAACUUUAAAACUUAAAAAAAAACAACCAACCAUUUUCAGUGACACAGGCUCAGAUGAGACUCAUCCAUGAGAGAAUCUGCUGAAAAACCCAGGUAGGUGGAACUUGUGACUAAAAUCUCCAGGCUCACACAGAGUCAGGAAAAGGCCAACUACUCCAAUCUCCCUGUGCUUCCAGUAGCCUGGCAGUCACACCCAGGAACUGCCUCUGGCGCCAUGUCAACUCAUAAUUUGCCACGAUCCAGAAACUCACAAAUAAAUCUCUCUGAAGGAAGCAACACAGAGCAACAUGCCACAGAGAUGCCAUGCCUCCAGAUCCCACGCCAGGCUGUCUCACCUGGAGUGGGGGCAGAUGAGUCCUGCCACCUACCCCGUCAGACUGUCAGCUGAAAACCUACAGAACUCUAUUGCUGCCGUGCUCACAGCUGAAUUCCUGGAGUGUGUGGUUGCAUUUGUGGCGGCAUGACAUCUCAUACUCUCAUUUGAUAUAGCACUGAUAUAUCAAAACAAGGACUUAGUGGCUCCAGGAUGGAAUACAAGAAUCUUCACACACUUUCCUCUAGAGGAAAUUUUUAGAUCAUUUUUAGCAGAUUAUUCAUAAUAAGAAUUACCAAAAAAUUACUUAGGUCCUGCUUUAGGGCAGGCUUUGGGGGUGUUAGGUGGAAAUAUUAGAAAUAUGGUGGUGGGAAGGUGUAUCGGUGGUGGGAUUGAUGUUGAAAUAUUAAAUGUAAUAAAUCAUUGUGAACAAAAGCACUUUUCACAUACUAUGAGAGAUAAACUUUUGUUAUAGGUUAAUAACUUCCUUCUACCUGGUUUGGCAAGAAUAAACAGCUGGUAGAGCACUUGCCUUGCACAUGGUGGAUCCUGGUUUAGUCCCUAGCAUCCCAUGAGUAAGCCCUGAGUACCAUCAUGGCCCAAAAAGCAUUCUCAGAUUUAGUAAAUAUGAAGCAAGUCAAAUUUUGUUUAAUUAUCCUGUGAUUAGCAGAUUCAGGAACAAAGAGAUAUAUGUAUCAUUUGAUAAAUCAGGUCACAGAAGUAUAGAUGGAUUUCAAUUGUCUUUCAGUGUCUCUUCUCUUUACCUCCCCUCCUCUCCCAUCUCUUCUUCUCUUUCUUCUGUUUUUGAACCAUAUCCGACUGAGUUUAGGGCCUACUCCUGGCUCUGUGCUCAUGGAUAUUCAAUGCCUGGAAUUGAAUUGGGUGUCAAAGUUAAACACAUUUACCUAUGUACUAUCUUUCUGGCUCAAGUGUCUCACUUUUCUAACAAAUUAAAUUUAAGUUCCCUAAAUUUUUUAGAACCUGUGUGUAAUUUUAGCUGGACUUUUAAUAGUAUACAUCUAUGCUAUAAUUGUUUAGAAGAAAAUAUUCAAAGAGGGUUUC